rnacentral:lncRNA from 15 species
AGACUGUACAGACUUCAUGAUCGCUUCAGAGGUUUUUUCCGUCCCUCUUGUUUACCAUGCCGGAGGGUCCGCAAAGGUUUUUUUCUUUAACCUUUUUGACCCAAGAAAGGAAAUGAGACUCUGCCAUGCCGAACAGUGUCCUGCAGAAAGGAGUCUGCCUGCACUGAUUCACAAAUGGGAUUACUAACUACUCAAAACCGACACUCGACACCCAGAUUCUGGAUCUAAGCAUCUGGAAGCUGGGACCAGUUGUUGUUCUACAAAAGAUGUGGUGAUAAGUGCCCUUUUUGAUUGUAAAUUAGGAUAAGAUAGCCCUGGAAUGUGUUUACAUCUCUUUUGAUCUGACAGGCCCACCUCCAGAGAGGACAGCCCUCUGGAGUCCACAUCUGGCAUUUUGUCACCCCUUUUCUAAAAGUAAGAAUUACGAGAUCUCGUUUUGGUAGCCAUGACAUUCCAAUCUAUAGCAUGAACAGCAUUUGCACUGAUAUGGAUUUAGUCCUGGUUGAGUACUGACAUAAAAUGUAAUCUCCUCAAAAUUAAAUUAUUUUUGAUGUUUCAUCCUGGAUAGUGGCCUUGAUGCUCACUAGUCCUCGGCCUCCCUCUUUCCGCUUAGCGUACAGUCUCAGGGUGGUGGAUUUGGGGUGAAACCCUCCGUGCAUGGUGAGGAGCUUUCUUGUCUUGAUAUCUGUGGCUUCUAUCUCCUCCUUUGGCCAGCUUAUGAUCCCAGCAGGGUAUCUGAUGACUGGUAGUGCGUACAUGUUGGUGGCUUGGAUCUUGUUCCUGCCAUUCAGCUGACUUUUCAGGACCUGCCUUACUCUCUGGAGGUAUUUGGUUGUGGUUGACUUCCUUGCGGCUUCCUCAGGGUUUCCAUUAGCCUGUGGGAUACCAAGGUACUUGUAGCUGUCUUGGAUAUCACCUAUGUUGCCCUCUGGUAGGUCAACCCCUCCAGUUCUGAUCGUCUUGCCUCUCUUUGAGACCAUCCGGCCGCACUUGUCCAAUCCGAAUGACAUCCCUAUGUCGUUGCUGUAGAUCCUGGUGGUGUGGAUCAGCGAGUCGAUUUCUCGCUCAUUCCCGACAUACAGCUUGAUGUCAUCCAUGUAGAGCAGGUGGCUAAUUGUUGCUCCACUUCGGAAUUGGUACCCGUAACCACUCUUUGUGAUGAUCU